AUUGAACGCUGGCGGCAGGCCUAACACAUGCAAGUCGAGCGGAUGAAGGAAGCUUUCUCCUGGAUUCAGCGGCGGACGGGUUAGUAAUGCCUAGGAUUCUGCCUGGUAGUGGUGGAUAACGUCCGGAAACGGGCGCUAAUACCGCAUACUUCCUGCGCGUGAAAGUGGGUGUUCUUCGGACCUCACGCUAUCAGAUGAGCCUAGUCGGGAUUAGCUAGUUGGUGGGUUAAAGGCCUACCAAGUCGAGUAUCGGUAACUGGUCUGAGAGGAUGAUCAGUCACACUGGAACGGGGAAAGGGUCAAGACUCCUACGGGAGGAAGCAGAGGGGAAUAUUGGACAAUGGGCGAAAGCCUGAUGCAGAAAGGCCGCGUGUGUGAAGAAGGUCUUCGGAUUGUAAAGCACUUUAAGUUGGGAGGAAGGGCAGUAAGUUAAUACCUUGAUGCUUUGACGUUACCAAAAGAAUAAGCACCGGCUAACUACGUG
rnacentral:rRNA from 1 species